rnacentral:misc_RNA from 1 species
CAGGUGCAUUAAAUGAUGCAGCUGCCAAGAAAUACGAUUUAGAAGCAUGGUUUCCUGCAUCUCAGACUUACAGGGAGUUAGUAUCUUGUUCAAAUUGCACUGAUUAUCAGUCCAGAAGGUUAGAGAUUCGAUAUGGUCAGAAAAAGAGCAAUGAACAGACGAAACAAUACGUGCACUUGCUGAAUUCUACUCUCACAGCAACAGAAAGGACUCUAUGCUGCAUUCUUG